UACGAAGGGUGCGAGCGUUAAUCGGAAUUACUGGGUGUAAAGGGAGCGCAGGCGGGGAGACAAGUCAGCUGUGAAAACUACCGGCUUAACCGAUAGAUUGCAGUUGAAACUGUUUUUCUUGAGUGGAGUAGAGGCAGGCGGAAUUCCGAGUGUAGCGGUGAAAUGCGUAGAUAUCGGGAGGAACACCAGUGGCGAAGGCGAUUCUCUGGACUGUAACUGACGCUGAGGCUCGAAAGCGUGGGGAGCAAACAGG
rnacentral:rRNA from 1 species